CCCAGGGCCUGGUGGUGGGCUCUGGAGGUGGUUGUGUAUUUCGCCGCCCUCGCCUGGCCUUCCUGCCUUACACCCUCAGGCUCUUCAGGCCGCAACUGUGUAGCACGCUGUGCUCACCUUCCUCCAACAGAGCUGCACCCCUCCUGAGAGCAAACUGAUGGUUUGUAACUCCCCCAUCCUUACUCCUUCUCAACCAUUGCCCUCUCUGGGCAUCUCUCCUUUCUUGAAGCACUUUGAAGGACCCUUCAAUCCCGUGAGCCCUCUGGAGAGUUGGGUAGGAUGUGAGCCAUGCAUGCCCAGGGUACCCAAACCUGGGCCACAGAGCCGAUCUCUCCCCAGUGCUGAGAAGCCAUACAAGGCCAAGUCCGGAAGGGAGCUAGACAGAUACAAGGAAUGAUGGGUGAUGUCAGACAGCCCGGCUGGCACCUCAGCCAAGAUGGGUUGGAGAGAUGGCUCAACACUGACUACUCUUCCAGAGAACCUGGGUUCAAUUCCCAGCACCCACAUGAAAGCUACCAACUGUCUGUAACUCCAAGAUCUGACGCUCUCACACAGGCAUACAUGUAGGCAAAGCACUAAUACAUACAAAGUAAAAAUAAAUAAUUUUUUAAAAUUACAAGUACAAACAAGGAAUAUGGAUGACUUUUAAAAAUUUUUCCAGACAGGGUUUCUCUGUGUAAUAGCUAAUAGCGUUGGCUGUCCUGGAACUCAUUUUGUAGACCCACCAGGCUGGCCUCGAACUCAGACAGAUUGGACUGCCUUAGUCUCCUGAGUGUUGGGAUUAAAGGCAUGCACUGUCACCACCCAGCAAAUAUGGGUGACUCUUACAAACAUCUUUGAGCAAAAGAAGUCAGACCAGAGCUAGGUACCAAUCAGUGGGAAUCAGUCAGGAUUCCCAGAAGUUCAAAGCCAGCUUGGGCUAUUUAGUGAGUACCAGGUCACUUUGUGUGCUACUUGCCUCACAGAAGACAAAAACAAAUUGGGUACAGUGCUCUGCUUCUGUUUUCUCAGGAAAUCUGUGUGGCAUUGAGAGUUCCAGGCUAGCUAUGACUUCAUGAGAAUCUGUCUCAGGGGAAAGAAAGUUAACUGCUAUAAGAUCUUUAUCUUAGCUGGGGGAGAUAGUGGCACAAGCCUUUGAUUCCAGCACUUGGGAGGCAAAGGUAGGUGGAUCUCUGUGAGUUCAAGGCCAGCCAGGACUACAUAGUGAGUUCCAGGACAGCCAGGGCUACUCAGAGAAAUCCUGUCUCAGCAAAAAAAAAAAAAAAAAAUCAAAAAACAACCCCCCCCCCCACAAAACUGUUUCAUGCUUAUAAAGUUGUUAGAUGUGUGUAGCUGGAUUUAGGAGUCAGGACAGUGUCUAAACUUGAGGGAGGGUGCUGGGACCAGGAAAAGGAUAUAGUGGCUGAGUCCAGAGCCUGGUGUUGCUUCUGGCUCCUGGUUUGGGUGCUUGUUAUACAGCAUAUUCAGUCUGUGACAAUGCACAUCUGUGUGUGACUCAUGGGUAACCGUCAAUGAGGGCAUUCCUCCCCUGUUGACAUUUUGUUGUUACUUUUGUUAUUUGAUUAUUUGGCUGUUUUUUGAGGGUUUUAAAAAAUUAUGUGUGGGCUGGAGAGAUGGCUCAAUGGUUAAGAGCACUGGGUGCUCUUCCACAAGAUCCUGAGUUCAAUUCCCAGCACCUACAUCUAUAAUGAGAUCUGGUGCCCUCUUCUGGUGUUCAAACAUACAUGUAGGCAG
ensembl:lncRNA